GAGUGCAACCAUACCAGCACUAGUGCACCGGAUCCCAUAAGAACUCUAUAGUUAUGAGUGCUUGGGCGAUAGUAGUACUGGGAUGGGUGACCUCUUGGGAAGUCCUCGUGUUGCACCCU